ensembl:lncRNA
GUUGAGGGGUGAAGUUGGAAAGAUUGGAGUGAAGAAGGGAGCCGAGAGGAAAGAUGGGAAGAUGGUGGUACAGUGUGAGUGAGGUCAUGACACCGGGGGUCGGUGCGCCGGGUAUAGUCUACUGAUGAUCUCCUAUCGGGGAUAAAUAUCGACCCCCAGGGCAUAAUGAUCAUAGUUCCUGAUCCUCCAAAAGUCUGAAGCGCUAGGCUAAGCUAGUAGACUCGUCAUAGCGGCUGCAGAAAAAAAAAACAUCGAUCCGUCCUGCGCAACUAUGCCUACUGACUUGAUUUCUGACGUCGGCAAUGAGAGCGUGAAAAAGCAUCAGGGACCACAUGCGCCAGGUGCAUAUGAUAUUCGGUUGAAUAAUCAAAGAACAAUACUCGGAGAUCGGACCAAUGUGGUGGCCAGUGGUAGUUAUGUGCCUAUCGUGAAUAGUGUGAAACAGUGGACCCCUGGAUCAAACCGUCUAUCCAAGAAAAACCUCAAAAGACCGAACCGUGCUCUGCCUCUACCCUGCUCCCCGCUGGCCAUAGAUCAGCCGCAAAUUCCUAAUAAAAAGGGGCGCAAGGACACCGCUCAUAGUGUUUUAACUCUAGAGAAUUUUAACUUGGUUCUCCAUGCAGUGAUAAACCCUCAAAUCGCGCAGCCAGGGACCGUAUGGUCUGAGUCCAAACACCAAGUGGUCGGGGCGGUGGAUGUGCAUGUGUCUGCGCCGCCUGCAGAGACCGUUACUGUACAGCCGGAUGGAUGCAUUCAGCAUGUCCUUGGUGACCCUCAGUAUGCACCACUACCAGAACUGACCGAUGAGGAUCUCGAGGGUCUUGCCGACAUUCCGUUGUGGCCCUCAGCGCUGUUGGAACAGCUCGACUUCACUCCCGCUCAUUGGAUAGACCCUCCAGCUACUUCCGUAGGGGGUACCGCCAGGGCAGAACCUGUAAACCAUCAGCCUGCAGCCCCCGCCUCUGGAUCACUACCCAUCAUCCAGGCCUCUAUCCACGAUCCGCCAGGCACUGUCCUUCAUUCACAGGCUCUUAACACUAAGCCCACAUGGCCAUGGGUAGUUGUGCAGGAGGAAGGGACUGUUGUCAUGGCACACUGCACUUGUAUGGCAGGACUGGGAGAGGUGUGCUCCAACGCAGCAGCACUAAUGUUCUCACUCCUGGCUGCUGUUGAGCGCAGAGAGGGACAGGCAUGCACAGACAAUGCAUGUGCAUGGGAAGACCCAGGCAAGAAACGUGUGAAGUAUGAUGAGCUAUCAAACAUAUUUCAAAAGGAGAAGGCUAAAAAAACAGACGACCACCAUCAAAUGAAACCAUCCGCUGAUGAGCUCAAGCAGUUUUUUGAACAGCUCCACAGCAGUGAAAACCAGGAGGCCAUCCCUAAGAAAAGUGCAAUUUUGUCAGUUGUUGAAGGCCAUUCCAUCAGAUACAUUCCCAACACUGUACAGUUGGAUUUGCCACCACCUCUCCCUACUCUGUACUCAAGCGACUGUCUUGAAAUGGAUUUGCCCUCACUGCUGGAGGAGGCUGAUGGGCGUUUUGAGGAGCUUCAUCUCACUCCGGAGCAGAUGGGGUCUGCAAAAUGAGGAAACUGCCAGGGAGUCAUACCUGAAGACCAUGCGAAAUCUCCAUUUGAACUUCAGCAUUACAAAAUUAGGGCUCAUUAUCAACCCGGGCCUACCAUGGGUAGGAGCAUCGCCAGAUGGUGUGGUGACCUGUGAUUGUCAUGGGACUGGUGUGCUUGAAAUAAAAUGCCCUUUCAAUGCAAAUGGCCGCGCUUUCAGGGAUUGUGUCAGCGACCCACGUUUCUGCCUUACCAUGACUGCAGAAGGUAUGGCCCUCAAACCAGAUCAUAGCUACAUGUACCAACUGCAGACCCAAAUGUGUGUAGCUGGGGUAAUGUAUGGAGAUUUUAUUGUGUG